CUGUGAUGCCGGGAACUGUAGAGCACGAGGGUUUUUUGACAAAACGAAAACUAACUGUACUCCCGUCUCCUGCCUGACAAUAGGCGUGACCUGCGGAACAUCGGGCUCACCCCACGAAAAGCAGUGUAUGAUCAACGCCACCCCCAGCCAGGAGAUCUGCUGACCCGAAAAACCACACAAGGGUUAAGCAUUCCAGAUGAUUUUCAAAGGCUGUGUCCUAACCAACUCUACUUACUUAUUUGGAGUUCAAUGGAAACAUUGAAGUUCCAGGCACGUGGGAUGAUGCCAGAUGCUGGAAUAGCAGCAAUGCCACGUACAGGCAGGGAUGACUGGGGCCUUCAGCGGGUAAGAUGUGGGUGCCAAUUUUGGGAACAUGUGGUCCUUGAAAAACGCCUCAUCUCCAGCAAUAUGAGUGUGCCAGAGGUCAUCACGCUGGAUGGGGAUGGUGAUGGAGGCUUUGGUGGUCCACACAAUGAAGGAGCAUCAAUGAAAUGCAGCGCUGAUCUGACCUAUCGGAAACCAUGCUUCAAGAUUGUUUUGAUCACGCAGACUGGGAUGUGUUCCAGGUAGCCUCUGAGAAUAAUAUUGAUGUGUACACGGACACGGUGACUGAGUUCAUCAGGAAGUGUAUUGGGGAUGUUGUUCCCACUGUGCCUAUUAAAACCUACCCAAACCACAAACCGUGGAUUGAUGGCAGCUUUCGCACAAACCUGAAAGCGUGAACAACCUCAUUUCACCAUGGCAAGGUGACUGGGAAUUUGGUUGAAUACAAACAGUGUAGUUAUUCCCUCUGUAAUGCAAUCAAACAGGCAAAACGUCAGUAUAGAGACAAAGUGGAGUCGUAAUUCAAUGGCUCAGACACGAGACGUAUGUGGCAAGGAAGGUCUACAGACAAUCACAGAUUACAAAGGGAAACCAGCCACGUCGCGGAUACCGAAGUCUUGCUUCUGGACAAGAUAAACACUUUCUUCACCCGCUUCGCCUGCAUCAAACCUGGAACAGAGAGAUUGAAAAACAGCUUCUAUCUCAAGGCCAUCAGACUGUUAAAUAGCCAUCACUAGCCGGCUACCAUCGGAUUACUCAACACUGCACCUUAGAGGCUGCUGCUCUAUAUACAUAGACAUGGAAUCCCUGGUCACAAUAAUAAUGUUUACACACUGCUUUACUCAUCUCAUAUGUACAGUAUAUUCUGUUUUCUACUCUACUAUAUUUUACUCAAUGCCACUCUGACAUUGCUCCUCCUAAUAUUUAUAUAUUUCUUAAUUCCAUUCUUUACUUUUAGAUUUGUGCAUAUUGUUGUGAAUUGUUAGAUACUACUGCACUGUUGGAGAUAGGAAC
ensembl:lncRNA